CCAUGUGUUUGCCACAGGUCUUCUCCGCGUUGUUGAAUGCAGAGGUGAAGAUGGCCGCACAUACUGUUUCUUAUGUCACUGCUGCCGCAUCAGAGCCAACGAGAAUGACAUAAUUGAUCACCUAACCAGAACUUCCCAUCUCAUCAACUACUUGAUGGAAACUCAUCCUGAGCAGGUUGAGGUUAUUCUGGCAGAUAUUAAUGACGACUAUCAGCUUCUCGUAUCACUGGCCAUGGAGGUGGAGAAAGAAGAGGGCAGAGGGGAGAUGAAGGUGAUCAAGACACCAGAAUCACUCGGUAUUCAACUGACUGGCAAAAGUUACCACUGGUGUAAGUACAGAUGCACGCCCAUCCUCUUUUUUAUUUUUUGCCCUUAAACUAUUCACCUCAGAUUCAUUUCUUUAAAACGUGUGGUGUUCUUCUAGUUUGAAAACUCAACUUCCUCCUGACUUUAAAAAAAGAAAAAAGAAUGCAUGCAGUAAUCCCCAUGAAACCAAGUUGACCCCAAUCCUCAGUUCUUCAUGAGAUGAGAUAAAAAGUAGAACCUUUCAGCCCUUGCGGAAGAUAACCCUUAGUGAGCAGAGUGGAAACCAGCUGGAGCUUUACUUGAAGUUUAUUAAAACUUGUACAAGGAAAACAGGGUGAGCCAUAUAAGUGAAUACCUAUCAAUUCUGGAGCACAGCCUUUCCCUAGGGAUAUUAAAGAGCA